rnacentral:lncRNA from 1 species
UUUUUUUCCUCUAAAUCAUUUUUUUAAAAAAAAAUCUAACAUGACCCGAACCGAAUUAAAACUACCGAGCUCGAAUUCUUAAAAUCGAACCAACAUUCAAUUUUGAGAGAAAUCGAACUAAUUCAAGAUAAGGUUAGCUCGUUUGAAGGACUAUUUUGUCCACCCCUACAUUAAAUUAAAAAAAUUCAGUUCGAUUUUAUGAAGAAUAUAAUAAAAUAAAAAUCUAUCAACAAAAAAGGUUAGAUAGUUAGAAGCACUAAAACGAGAGGUGACAAAAUGGGUUGUGAUGCGAUUACAUGGCAUGGAUACAGCAUGAUUUUUUUCGUAUUCGUGCUAACAAAUAUUGAUAUGAUUAAUAAAUGAAAUGACACAACAUGACAUGAUAAAUAAUCAUGUCAUAUUAAUGUUGGACUACAUCACCAUGAUUACAUCUUUAUGAUACGAGUAUCAACUAAUACGUGGUAUAUUGUUAAAAAAAUUAACUAAUUAUAUUAAACACUGAAUUAAUUACUCAUAUCAUAUCCAUAUUGUGUGAUAAAUUUAUUUAUGUCAUGUUAACUUAUUUAUAACCUAUUUUUAAGAAUAAUGUUGACAUACUUGUUAUUUUUUAAAAUAAUUUUUUUAUUUUUUAUUAAAUAAAUUAAAUGAGUCAACACGAUUAAUAUGGUUAAUAAACUGAUCGUAUCUGUGUUUUGAUGUUUUGAUACGAUAAGUAAAUAGGUAAUACAACAUUUAUUUAAAUUUAACGCAACAUAAUUACAUGAAUUGACACACCUAACUAAAAUUAUUUUUUUUUUCAAUAAACAAAAUGGGUUACCCAAUUAAUGCCUAUAUAUUUAUAUAUUUUUUGGGACCACAUUCCUUGCCUUUUGAAAAUACAUGGAAAAUUGAUUGUGUAGACCCCAGGCAAUGCCCAUGUUCAUUUAUGUAGGCCCAUUUUAGUAUUAUUGUAAUUUUUAAAAUAACUAUUGUUAUCGUGUGCUACAGAAAUAAUCAGUUAUGAUGAGAAUUAAAUAAACGUUUAAUAAAAUUUAUUUUUAAAAUUGUUACGAGUUUUAAAAACAAUCAAAUGUGUUUAAUAAAUCUUAUUAUUAAAUUGUUGUAAGACUAUACAUAAUUGAAUUGCACAUAGUGUUGAAUAAAAUUAAUUUACGCACGUAUAAACAUGUAUAUAAAUUUUUUCUAUUGUGUAUAUAUAUUAAUUGAUAACUAGAAUAAGUAUCUUAUGCUUUUUUAUUUUGUAUCUCAAUAAUAAUAAUAAUAAUAAUAAUAAUAAUAAUAAUAAUAAUAAUAAUAAUCUCUUUAAAUUCAAUACUUUUAUUUCUUAAUUAAUAAGGAUAAUUUUAAAUUUUUUAUGUGAGGACAUACAUAAAAUUGCAUUAAAUAUAAAACUGAUUCUCAAAAUUAAUGAUACUUUGGUAUUGUCUCAAUCAAAGUAUAUAAAAGAUCUACUUUCAAAGUUUGAUUUGAAAAAGUGCAAUGGAGAUGAUACACCUCUGGCCACAACAGAAAAACUUAGCAAAAACAUGGGUGAAGACUUUACUGAUGCAACUCAAUACAUAAAAGCAAUUGGAGGAUUACAGUAUGUAGAAUUAACAAGGAUAGAAAUUGCAUAUGCAGUUAAUAAGUUAAGUCAAUUCAUGGCUAAUCCUUUACAACCUCACUAGCUGGCCUUCAAACGAGUACUGAGGUAUCUCAAGGAAACUAUAGACUAUGGUUUGACUUUCAGAAAAUCUGAUUUUCUAGAUCUUGUAAUAUACACUGAUGCAGAUUGGGGCAGUGACAUUGAUGACAGAAGAUCAACUAGUGGCUACUGUGUGUACUUAGGUGAAAAUUUAAUCAGCUAUAGUUCAAAGAAGCAGAGCAUCAUUUCCAAGUCAUCAGCAGAGUCAGAAUACAGAGCUAUGGCAUUAGCUUGUUCAGAAUUAACCUGGAUCUGCUCAAUUCUUAAGGAACUGGACAUUAAACUUCAGAGCACUCCACUGUUGCUAAGUGAUAGCACAAGUGCAGCUGUUAUAGCUACGAAUCCAGUAAUGCAUUCUAAGACCAAACAUAUUGAAAUAUAUAUUCAUUUUGUGAGAGACAAAGUUGAAAGGAAAGAAGUUGAAAUUGCUUUUGUGUCUACCAAUGAUCAAGUUGCUGACAUACUAACUAAACCUCUUACAUAUCCUAAGUUUAGCUUCUUCAGAAGCAAACUUAAGGUCUUUCCAAAAGACUUAAGUUUGAGAAGGGGUGUUGAAUUCACUAGUGAAGCUGAACCAAAAAUUACUUCCUCGCUUUCAAAAUCUACUAUAGGAUAGGAUUGAUUUUGUCAAAAUUAAUUUCUAAAAAAAAUUUAUAAAUAUUAAAAUUCACUUUUAACUUUUUAAAAAUACUUUUAAAAAUUUCAAAAAUAAUUUCCAAUAAGCCUUUCCUAUUUGGAUUUUGGACCACCACAUUCGUGACAUUUGUGACGACAACAACUUUCACCAGCCCAAAACAACCUUUAGAGAAUUGUCCUUGGCAAUGGGGACACGACUCUUUUGGGACAAAUUGGCCAAAAGUUCAUGUCCAGAUUGCCCUAUAAGUCUAUGUCUUGGGCCACUCUUGGCAUUUUCUUUUUUCCCCUCAAAAGAUUUAACUAUGGUGUUAAUUGGGUCCACCAAAAAUUUCAUGUGUCAACGUAAAUGCAUGUGGACUACAUCCAUGUCAAUUGCAAUGAGAAUAAAUCAUGGAAUUUAAAAUAAAUUAUUCAUUUAAAAUAUAAGAACCGGAAUUGAAAUAAUAUGUAUUUUUAUUGAUGUGAUAAAUUUGUCUAAGAAUUAGAAUGGAUUGUUUUAAAUAACUAAACUGCUUUUAGUUAAUUAUGGUCAUUAUUAUUUUAAUUUAUAUAAUAAUUUUGAUUAUUAUUAUUAGUAUUAUAUUAACAACAAUUACAAGAAUAAGAAUAAGAAUAAUACGAUAAUAUAAUAAUAAUUUAAUUAAUAAAAAAGUUAGAGUUAUGAAAUUUAAAUGAGGUAAAAUAGAGAAUUCAACAUGAUUAAUAUGACUAAUAAAUGAACCACAUUCUUAUUUACUUAAAUUUAAUAUAUAUAGAUUGAUGUGAUAAUUAAUAACUAAAAUAAUUAUAUUGAACACUAAAUUAAUUACUCAUAUCAUAUCCAUAUUGUGUGAUAAAUUUAUUUAUGUCAUGUUAACUUAUUUAUGACCUAUUUUUAAGAAUAAUGUUCACAUACUUGUCAUUUUUUAAAAUAUUUUUUUAAUUUAUUAUUAAAUAAAUUAAAUGGGUCAACACGAUUAAUAUGGUUAAUAAACGGAUUGUAUCUGUGUUUUGAUAUUUUGAUACGAUUAAUAAAUAGGUCACAUCAACAUUUAUUUAAAUUUAACGCAACUUAAUUAUAUGAAUUGACACACCUAACUAAAACUAUUUUUUUUUCAAUAAACAAAAUGGGUUACCCAAUUAAAGCCUAUAUAUUUAUAUAUUUUUUGGGACCACAUUCCUUGCCUUUUGAAAAUACAUGGAAAAUUGAUUGUGUAGACCCUAGGCAAUGCCCAUGUUCAUUUAUUUAGGCCCAUUUUAGUAUUAUUGUAAUUUUUAAAAUAACUAUUGUUACAUGUGUUACAAAAAUAAUCAGUUAUGAUAAGAAUUAAAUAAAAAUUUAGUAAAA